rnacentral:rRNA from 1 species
GGGGAAUCUUCCGCAAUGGACGAAAGUCUGACGGAGCAACGCCGCGUGAGUGAUGACGGCCUUCGGGUUGUAAAGCCCUGUUAAUCGGGACGAAUGGCUACCAUGCGAAUAGUUUGGGAGUUUGACGGUACCGGAAUAGAAAGCCACGGCUAACUACGUGCCAGCAGCCGCGGUAAUACGUAGGUGGCAAGCGUUGUCCGGAAUUAUUGGGCGUAAAGCGCGCGCAGGCGGAUUGGUCAGUCUGUCUUAAAAGUUCGGGGCUUAACCCCGUGAUGGGAUGGAAACUGCCAAUCUAGAGUAUCGGAGAGGAAAGUGGAAUUCCUAGUGUAGCGGUGAAAUGCGUAGAUAUUAGGAAGAACACCAGUGGCGAAGGCGACUUUCUGGACGAAAACUGACGCUGAGGCGCGAAAGCCAGGGGAGCGAACGGGAUUAGAUACCCCGGUAGUCCUGGCCGUAAACGAUGGGUACUAGGUGUAGGAGGUAUCGACCCCUUCUGUGCCGGAGUUAACGCAAUAAGUACCCCGCCUGGGGAGUACGACCGCAAGGUUG